UGUAGCAAGCGCUUAACAUGUUUUUGUUGCAUCUGAUUUGAUCAUCCUUCUAAACCCUGUCGAAAGCGAUGGCUUUUUACUCGGUUCAGUGGCUGUUGAGAUUGCCUGUGUAAACCACACAAUGGAAUAUUAAAGGAGCAAGGCGCUCAUACCCUGGCUCUUGAACAGA